GUGCCCAAACUUUUCCAUACCACUGUAAGAGGUCAUUUCAUGCCACAAGCAGCACUGCACAUCCAAAGGCCUAGAGUGGUUUCCUGCUUACAUUCAAACUGUAACACAACUCAGAAAUUGCCAGCUCUCACAUAACACCUAAAACAUAACAAUUAUGUGAAGUCAUAAAUACAGCCAUCUUGGCACUGUUGGAAAUUGGCAUGAGUGAGAGAAAGGUAGCGAAAAAACUGAAAAUCUCCAAGACAGCCAUUCCUGAUCUGUUUUUUCCUUUUCCUUCUUUUGUUUUGUUUGAACUUGUUUCAACAUUUCUUAUUUAUAUAUGUCUGAAUUGUCUUGAUUGUUUAUAUUUACUUAUACUUGACAAAGAACGGCUCAAAGAAGUGCAACAUGAGUUGAAGAGGAGACUGAAGGUGGCAAAGCUAGAAUACAAAAAGAAGAUAGAGAAGAAUUUUCAACACAGCAACAUCCGUGAUGUGUGGAGAGGAAUCAAUACCAUCUCUGGACACAACAAUAAAAAGAAAAGGGAGCCAAUAGUAGGUGAUGUGGAAAGGGCUGACGAACUCAACUUGUUCUUUAACAGAUUUGACACUGUGGACAUACCUACUUCCACUGCUACUCCUCCUUCUUCUCCUUAUUAACGAUCCAGUGGAUAUAGGAGCAGCAUUACUGCACAGAUAAUUAAAUAUUCGUCGGUAGAUUGUUAUCAGACCGCGCAUAAAUGUUCUCGCAUUUCCGGACAAUUAUCGGUUUGAGCGGUACCGUUUCGUACUCGUUUCAAGUCCAUAAUCUACAUAAACAACCUAAUCCGUCCUUACAUUUACAUUACCAGCCGCAGUCAUGCUCUCACAUCCAGCAGAUAUUGUGUGUUGCGCUGCGGUUCUUUGCAAAUGGAAGUUUUUAUAUAAUGUCGGAGAUGCAGAGUAAGGCAACUGUAUGGAGGACAUUCAGAAAAGUGUUCCUGGCCCUGAAACGGCUUUAACUCAUCAUUGUGGUUUUCCCUGGACAUAAACCUGUCAGAGCAUCAAGGAGGAGUUCCACAGGAUUGCAGGUGAAUGAUGUAGAGAUCUGUUAAAUUCAUUUUAAAUCAUAUUCUGUUAAUGACAUCGUGCUGCAACCUCAGACUGGGAUGAGUCAUUUAAAUUUCUUUUUUUUUUUUUUUGGUAAUUAACUUUUUAUUGCUUUUUAGAACAAAACAAAUCAUAGAACAGUAGAACAAACACACUAAGACAAUAAAAUAAACUGAAUGAAUAAUAAUAGUAAUAAUAAUCAUAAUUUUUUUUUAAAAACAACAACAAAAGGACAGAAAUGAUAAUGACAAUAAUAAUAUACAAAAUACAUAUACCUCAUGUCCAGGGUCUAGAUUUUCCAAAACACCUCCUCUUGGUUAUUCAACCUCAAGGUCAUCAUUUUAAUUUCUUUUAGGAUUUCCCAGUGUGAUUGGAUGCAUAGAUGCACACACAUCCCCAUUACAGCUCCCUCACAUCUUGAAUAGGAAGUCCAUUCACAGCAUAAAUGUGCAGGUAGGCUACAGGUCGACUGACUACUGUUUCUAAAUGUUAAAGACUGCAUCAUAGUUCAACAUCUGUCAUUCUCUGCACUGUCCAGAUCAUAUGUGAUUUCUAAUGUGGAGGCCAAGCGGUCUGGGUCUGUUCAUGACUCAAUGAUUUAUGGAGAGUCUAACCUGAGCAACAGACUGCAGCGUGGAGAGUUUGAUGGCCUUCUGCUGGGUGACAGGGGUUACCAUGACAACCCAGGCUGAUGACCUCAUACCCUGACCCUCAACCAGGCCCCCAACAGAACUUCAACCGGACUCACUGCAGGACCAGAGCCCGGGUGGAGAUGACCACAGGCCUGCUGAAAGCCCGUUUCCAGUGCCUACGUCUCCUCAGGAUGACCCCUGAGAGGGCCUGUGAUAUUACUGUGGCAUGUGUUGUUCUUCAUAAUAUUACCACUAUUAGAGGAGAGCAACACCCUGCCCUACAAACUGAAGACCCAGAUGAUGACCCCAUCCACCUGCAGCUAUCCAGGACAGCAGAGCAGUCAGAGACACCAUAUGCAAUAAUCACUUUAGAGUUUAAGUCACCAUCAUCACCACCACAGCAAAUAAAGACAUGAUACACAUUUCA